rnacentral:rRNA from 2 species
UAUUGAUUGGUGCUUGCAUCAUGAUUUACAUUUGAGUGAGUGGCGAACUGGUGAGUAACACGUGGGAAACCUGCCCAGAAGCGGGGGAUAACACCUGGAAACAGAUGCUAAUACCGCAUAACAACUUGGACCGCAUGGUCCGAGUUUGAAAGAUGGCUUCGGCUAUCACUUUUGGAUGGUCCCGCGGCGUAUUAGCUAGAUGGUGGGGUAACGGCUCACCAUGGCAAUGAUACGUAGCCGACCUGAGAGGGUAAUCGGCCACAUUGGGACUGAGACACGGCCCAAACUCCUACGGGAGGCAGCAGUAGGGAAUCUUCCACAAUGGACGAAAGUCUGAUGGAGCAACGCCGCGUGAGUGAAGAAGGGUUUCGGCUCGUAAAACUCUGUUGUUAAAGAAGAACAUAUCUGAGAGUAACUGUUCAGGUAUUGACGGUAUUUAACCAGAAAGCCACGGCUAACUACGUGCCAGCAGCCGCGGUAAUACGUAGGUGGCAAGCGUUGUCCGGAUUUAUUGGGCGUAAAGCGAGCGCAGGCGGUUUUUUAAGUCUGAUGUGAAAGCCUUCGGCUCAACCGAAGAAGUGCAUCGGAAACUGGGAAACUUGAGUGCAGAAGAGGACAGUGGAACUCCAUGUGUAGCGGUGAAAUGCGUAGAUAUAUGGAAGAACACCAGUGGCGAAGGCGGCUGUCUGGUCUGUAACUGACGCUGAGGCUCGAAAGUAUGGGUAGCAAACAGGAUUAGAUACCCUGGUAGUCCAUACCGUAAACGAUGAAUGCUAAGUGUUGGAGGGUUUCCGCCCUUCAGUGCUGCAGCUAACGCAUUAAGCAUUCCGCCUGGGGAGUACGGCCGCAAGGCUGAAACUCAAAGGAAUUGACGGGGGCCCGCACAAGCGGUGGAGCAUGUGGUUUAAUUCGAAGCUACGCGAAGAACCUUACCAGGUCUUGACAUACUAUGCAAAUCUAAGAGAUUAGACGUUCCCUUCGGGGACAUGGAUACAGGUGGUGCAUGGUUGUCGUCAGCUCGUGUCGUGAGAUGUUGGGUUAAGUCCCGCAACGAGCGCAACCCUUAUUAUCAGUUGCCAGCAUUAAGUUGGGCACUCUGGUGAGACUGCCGGUGACAAACCGGAGGAAGGUGGGGAUGACGUCAAAUCAUCAUGCCCCUUAUGACCUGGGCUACACACGUGCUACAAUGGAUGGUACAACGAGUUGCGAACUCGCGAGAGUAAGCUAAUCUCUUAAAGCCAUUCUCAGUUCGGAUUGUAGGCUGCAACUCGCCUACAUGAAGUCGGAAUCGCUAGUAAUCGCGGAUCAGCAUGCCGCGGUGAAUACGUUCCCGGGCCUUGUACACACCGCCCGUCACACCAUGAGAGUUUGUAACACCCAAAGUCGGUGGGGUAACCUUUUAGGAACCAGCCGCCUAAGGUGGGACAGAUGA